rnacentral:lncRNA from 1 species
UGUCAUUGUCCCUGGGUUUCCCAGAGACAACAUUUGAUGAGAAUCCAAUAGCCAUUGGAGCUUUUGCAGCAUUGAAGAAAGGAAUUUUUGUUGCCUGUUCAGCAGGAAAUUCAGGACCACGUCCAUACUCCAUAGAAAAUGGAGCUCCUUGGAUUACAACAGUUGGUGCAGGAACUGUUGAUAGAGAGUUCGUAGCCCGCGUCACCCUUGGCAAUGAAGAGCUAUCAGUUAUUGGAAAAUCUGUGUACCCAGAGAAUCUGUUUGUCUCCAGGGAACCUAUAUACUUCGGAUAUGGAAAUAGAUCCAAAGAAAUUUGUGAAGGUAACUCAACAGACCCUAGAGCAGUUGCAGGCAAGUAUAUCUUUUGUGCAUUUGACUACAAAGGCAACAUAACCGUAAGUCAGCAAUUGGAGGAAGUGCGCAGAACUAGAGCCGCCGGAGCUAUCAUCAGUGCAGACUCAAGGCAAAAUCUGUUUCCCGGCGACUUUGACAUGCCUUUCGUUACAGUAAACCUGAAUAACGGAGAGUUAGUGAAGAAGUACAUAAUCAAUGCGGAUAAUGCAACUGUUAGUAUCAAGUUCCAGAUCACGAUAUUGGGCACCAAGCCAUCUCCACAAGUAGCUAAAUUUUCAUCACGAGGGCCUUCUCUUCGAUCUCCAUGGAUUCUAAAGCCUGAUAUAUUGGCUCCAGGAGUUGAUAUCUUGGGGGCAUGGGUUCCCAACAGGCCUAUAGCUACAAUUCGUGAUAUUGGUAAGCUACUCACUGAAUAUGCUCUCGAAUCCGGCACAUCAAUGUCUUGCCCUCAUGCAGCUGGUAUAGCCACGCUGCUUAAAGCCACCCACCAUGAGUGGAGUUCAGCUGCCAUCCGUUCAGCAAUGAUGACAACAGCUGAUGUUCUUGAUAAUGCUUAUGAUAUGAUCGCGGACAUAUCAACCGGAGUUGCUGGAACUCCUCUUGAUUUCGGUGCAGGGCAUAUAAAUCCCAAUAAGGCCAUGGAUCCAGGACUUGUGUAUGAUAUUGAGGUCCAGGACUAUAUCAACUACUUGUGUGCGUUGAACUACACAAGUCAACAGAUUAGAGUUCUCACAGGGACAUCAAAUUUUACAUGUGAGCAUGGCAAUCUGGACCUAAACUAUCCAUCCUUUAUAAUCAUCUUGAACAACACCAACACUGCAAGCUUCACAUUCAAGAGGGUAUUGACAAAUGUAGCUGUUACGAGGUCUGUAUAUACUGCUGUAGUGAAGGCUCCAGCGGGUAUGACGGUGGCUGUGCAACCAGUAACAUUAUCCUUUGAUGAAAAGCAUAGUAAAGCCGAGUUCAAUUUGACAGUGAACAUUAAUCUGGGGAACGAUGUCAGUCCAAAACGUAACUAUCUUGGAAAUUUUGGGUAUUUGACAUGGUUUGAAGUUAACGGGAAGCAUCAGGUGAGAGGCCCCAUUGUCUCUGCAUUUUCUGUUUCUAAUGGGCAAUGAUAAAUUCACUUUAUUUGGAUUGGAUAACAAGUCAAGUAGCUAAAUGUUGAGAGCAUGUAGCUUCAAGGAAUGAGUCGUAUGGAGUAGUAAAGUUCAGGAUUCUUUACUUAUUUGCACAAAUCACGUCCAUGCAUUUACUAAGGUACAAGUUAAGAUGAGUAAAGAAUCCUUGUCUAUGAAAUUAAACUGGUGUUGUUUUUUUUAAUUAGACCCACCUCUUUUUAUUCUGUACUUUUCUGAAAUGGAAAAUUAACACAAUAGAAAAUCAAAGAAUAAAUAAAUAUAUAAAUGUAGGAUAUAAUCAGUUCAUUCACAAAUUCAGUAGCGUUAUUUUACCAUCUAUUAGUGUUAGAAGAUAUGUUUAGGACUGCUGAUGUGGAAUCAUACAUGUUGCUUAGUUGAAAGUUUCAACCUGUUCCUAUUUUUCUGGUGUUGGUUAUUUCUUUUGUUGUUCUUGUUGUGAUCGUGGCACAAUCUUUGAACCAUGAUUCUAGUGGGCUGUUAUUUGGCUUUGGUGUGUUAUUUAAGCUUUAAAUUGUAAUGUUUUUUAUUUAAUGAAUUGAGUGAAGUUCUCUUGACAAUUACCGUGGCUCUUAUUUCAUUCUGUAAACUUUGUUUUCUUUUCUUAUUCGAGUAACAACAAUUAGCAACUAGGAAUCUUGGGGAAAAAAAAUACUUAUCUUGAUACAGAAGCAGAAGCCCCAUUGUUUAAUAUCACACCAAUGGAAUAAAAUGGGACUGUAGAAAAGAGAUUUAUCAGCUAAUUUCUGGUUAUUUGAUCUUGUCAUUCUGCUUCCGGUUUCUCUUAUGAUUUUCUGGCUAUUAUUUUCCAUGGAAGCCGCGAAAUCGAGCAUCAACAAGAUAGUUACGUUUUGGACUAGCGACAAUGGAAGAUGUGCACAUAUACAUAUAUCGGCCGUUGGCGUUGCAGCGCCCAGAGGUUAAUAGCAAGCGUCGCAGGCUAGCAUGACACCGGACACAAUAGAUGAUAAAACACAAUGUCACACACCCAAGAAAUCACAAGCUCACCACCACAGCAAACAACAAAAGGAUACAGAAAAAAAUUCACCACCUAAAGUUGUUAAGCUAAAGAUACAGGGCUUAAAAUACUCACCACUCAAUGGAAUCUACCAAAGAGAUACAGAGUUUGAUAAUAACUCAAAGUUCAUCCAAUCCCCAAAAUUAAUUUCUAUAUUUUGGUUACAACUACAUAAGCUUAAAUAAUUUUCUUGGAACAAUCCUCCAACCAUAGAUAUACUACAAAGAAGCCCUUCAAAUGACUUGACUUAAAAGACCAACAUUAAAGCUAGACAUUAAUAAAACAUUGGUAUGCUUAAAACACAGCAAAGAGCAUUAAAAAAAAGUCCCAAGUCCAGAAAUAUUCUUCUUGACUCAAAACUGAACAGCCUGCACUUAACUGAUCAUAACUUACUGUAGAAAGCUCCAAAUUUAGAUUAGUAAAAUUCAUUGGAAAGCUAACAGAAAUAUCUUUCCAAUGAUGUAUGGCUCGAAAAUUAAUUCGAUCUCAUGCAGUACAGUUUAAUUUCCAAAGAUGCCCCUUCUGCACAGAAAUUCUGCUCACUUGAUUAAUGUAAGAACUUGAACUGCACUUGGUAUAACUUGAAUACCAAAUAUUUCAAACACCCCUGUGUUAUAGCAGCUCUUCACUUAAUGUUGACAGUAAUUGGUAAGGAUGUUCUGUUUAUUUUCUCUUUCGCCAAGUCAACAAAACACUUUUAUCAUAAGGUUAAUUUUAAGAAAAAUAUGUCUAAUUGCACCUUGGAGCUGAUUAUGAGAGUGAUGUUGCCGGCAAAGCAGUCUUGUAUAUUUUAAAGCAUGCAAAAAAUGAAUCAAAUUUAGUGGAGUAUAAUCAAAUUUCCAUGUAUAAAUUAAUUAAUUUUCUUAUGCGCUGCAGUUUAGACAAAGUUUUGGGUUUCUUUGUUGGGGCUUUGUCUUUUUUGGUCUAUAAUGUGUAUUGUUGUUCUGUGUUUUCAUUAAAUUAUUGUUGGAUAGCACUAAUGUUUGCUUUGAUAUAAACAGAAGCAGAUUUUACAAUUACGCUAUUACGAAUUUUUUAAACCUGAAAUUGCAACCCAAACUGUAAUUGAGUAGGACACGAACCCGAACCGAAUUUGAAGCUGAAUUGAACGCAACCGAACUUGAAACUGAGCCUAACUAAAUCGAAAUAAAUUCUCUAACCCAAACAGGUAGCAAUUCGUAAAAUCGAACUGAAAAUUGAAAUGUCCACCCCUAUCGCUGGGUUUAUGAAACAUUAUGAUAAUAACUGAUUGCUUUGAAUUGUUCUAGUGUGUAAAGCAUUUUCAUUUACUUGUUGGAUAUUAAGAAAUAAUUAUGGUUUGUUUUUUUCUGACAUUUAUUAGCCCUUGCUUCAAUUGAUGUUUGCUUGAAUAGGUGGAGUUUUGACAACGAAAGAAGCAAGGCAGAUGCAAAUGCAAUAAAUCUAUGAUGGACUUGCAUCGAGCAACGGAAUUUCCUGCACUCUUUUAGUUUUUUAAUAAUGGUUGUUGUAAAUGGAAUUAGGAACCUGACCCGAAAUUAGUAACAAAAACUGUUCUGCAACCCAGACCGUGUUUGACCCCGAAUUAACAACCCGAAACUGAACAGAAUUACGAACCUGAAUCGAACCAAAAUAAAUUUUCAACCCGAAUUGAAUAUUGAUAUCAAUUAUCAUACUUUUCUUGGGAUCAGGCUACGGUGCAACUGUGGUACCGUGCCACAGUUGCACCACAGGUUUCCCCCUUUUCCUGAUGUGUGCUCUGAUGCAAUUAACAAGAGCUUCUUGUCGAAGCAUCAUCAUUUUUCUUUUUUGAUGAUAAUAUUUCGACGUGUUUUCACAUUUCUAAUAGGUUCAACCAAUUUGACUCCUUACUCUGCAACUUUGUUGAGUGGAUUUCUUGCUGUGAUAUCUGUAAAUAUAGUUAUUGCAUUUUACAUUUAUAUGGCAAAUGAGGGAACCUUCAGACAAACGUGAGCCAGAUCCUAAAUUUCUUGCCGAGGCCAAAGCUAGUGUAACCCAGUCUACCGGUAAAGCUGAGGUUUCUUCUGAAUCCCUCAAGAAAGAAGUGUAGGAUACCAAAGCCCUGGCCAUUUCACCUUGAGAAAAUUUUCAACUGAAAACGUGCGACCAGGGCCCAUUGUUGAUUGGAUAAAGUUGAAAUAUGCUUGGUUGUCUACGUUUAUUAGCUUCAAAAGUGCCUGAUUUCAGUGUGAACACUACAAUUUUGUGAGAUGCAUGAUUUUGUGGUGAUAACUUAAUUCUUUUUUCUUUUGGGAACAGAACUUUAAUGUGGAUGAAGUGUCAGGGGAGGUGGAAUACUCGUAUAAUAAUAAUAACCUCAUAUGGUGUAAUUAUUGGAAACCAGCCAUGAUUAACGGAUGAGGAUACUCUUCUAUCACUUUAUUAGCUUCAAAAGUGCCUGCAGCCCACACUUUUUUUUUGUUUCAACUUAGAACAAUUUUUUUUUAAAAAAAUUAAAUGUGUUGAUGAGCUCUUGGUUCUAUUCGAUCUUGUGAAAAAUGGUAAUGUAAUGUUGGUCUUGAACCUUCAGUAAUGAAGAUUUAUUCGGGUGAUUGAUAGUUGAACUAUUACAAUUUGAUAAUUUGCAAUGGUUAGAAAAUUUGAGGUUCCAUUUUUGUUUAUCAAGGUUGGGAAAUGGUUUUUCAUUAUAAAUAUUUAAAACAAAUAAAUUGAAUAGUACAACUUCUCAGAGGUUCUCACUACAUGAAUUAUCCAAGAUUAUCCCCUCAAUGCUGCUAUAAUUAAGCUUGCCCCAAUCAUUAUACAUCUUUACAAAAUUUUAAAGAGAUCUAAAGGAUCUUUUUUCCUCAAAUUCCUCUUUGGCCUUAUUCUAUCAUCCCCCCUCUCCCCGUUCUACUUUUGGAAGACCCUGCGUUAUAUCACCAGGUCUCGAUUAUGGAAUUCAUGAAAUCCUAAUCAUUGCAAGUAACUUAUAAUGCAUGUUUCUGAUUCAUCCUUGGAGAAUUAUUAGAUAACCAAAAUUUUAAUGCAACUUUAAGCAUCAUUUGUUUAUUUUUAUGGUCAAUGGAAUAUUCAAUAAAUAAAUGUUUCACUGCAUGAUCAUAUCACACUUCAUUCUUGAAAGAACCUUGGCUGACAGUAAUUAACAUAGAGAUUCAACAAAUAGUGUCGCCCGAUAAAUUUUUGAUAAUAUUGGAAUGCCAUAUUACUUUGGAAAGAUCCACUUGGAAGAAAUAUCUGUAAGCGGCUUGAAAAAUAGCAACUAACUAGUGAAAUAAAGGUAAAAACUUGGCAAGUCUAAUGAAAGUUCAGCAGCUAUAACAUCCACCUAAAUUUAUGAAUCCAUACCAAAAACAUUAGCUAACAACUUCACAUGAAUCCAUGAUUUACAAAAUUGAACUCGUUAAUCUUAAAAUUGUCACUAAACAGAUACAGAGAGGCACAAAUAUUGUCAAUCUGUUAUAUUAAAGCAGAGUUUGGCCUCAUCCCGAGGACCGUUAAUCUCGAAUUUGUAUUCCUGAGUUCAUAUAAGCCAGUACGGACAAUCCACAUUCACAAAAACCAACAUACCUAAAAACAACACAAAAAGAGUAACCGAUGCAGCAUAUGAACAUCAAGCCACAAGCUUCUUUCCUACCAUUUGGUUCUUAUGAAGUUUUAUUAGAUGGUGUUUGGGCAUAACAGUCCAACCGACAGAUCUAGAUUCAAAUGAAUGAAUGCCACGGAAAGUCGCCGAUGAGCUGGCUUAAAAACCUCAAUUUGUUGCCACUGUAUUCUAUUAUGAGGGUGAAAAGUCGAGGACGUGUAGGAUUGGGAUGUCUGUUUUUAUAAACUACACGCAUGUUGCUGGUGGGUCUAUGCAGAGAAUUAAUUGCUGCCACUGACUUGUCGUUGUCUUUUGCCACCAAAUUUUUCAAUCAACUGCCACUGAUUUGUACUAUGAUGAGCUUGGUAAAUUUCUAAUAAUAUUAAUUUGGUGGUCCAGCGCAGAAGAUAUUAACUUGUCAGAUGUAACCAAGUACUUCCUUAGUUUUCCCAAUUCUCUCCUAUUCAGAUAAGCGGGAAAAAAAAAGAAAAAAGGCUCAUCAUAGUACAAAUCUACUAGGAGAGACGAUCAUGACAAGUUUAAAGAAUCCUAUGAAAAGUUUACAUAUGAAGACAAUCAUGCUCAAAUUUGUGGAUGAGUUGUUUGGGGGAUAAAAGAGGCAGCAUGAUUGAAUACGAUUUCGUGCAAAUCAUGCUCCCCUCGACAUUAGAGUUAACAGCUGGCCUCCUCGAGUUGUGAUUUAUAGAAGCUCCUAAGCAAUCUGCUUUAGUCAUUACGUAGCAGGUAGGUCGCUCUGCAGUUUUGCUCGCACAAGGAUCUCACAAGGAGAGACUCAAACAAAAGUCAACCUAAACACUCGGUCAUGAGUCAACUUGAGAAUUUUAGGGUCUAGUGAUGAGUAUAAUUUAUAUAUAUAUUUUAACUUUUAUUAUAUAAUUGUUAGUUAUUUUUAUUUAUUAUUUUUAAUUAAUUGAAUUAUUUUAUUGAAUAGGGAAUUAAUUGGAGAUUAUGGAUAAAAAGUGCAUAAAGAAUAAUAAUUAAACAACAUUAAAGAUCAAAUCAAUUUAUGGAAGCAAUUAAGCAGAUGUGCAUGAUAUUCAAGAUGAAGAAACCGAAGCCAAUAAAUUAAAUCAAUCAUGCUCAUGCAAACCAAGAAGACGUUUAAAGCUAAAGCUCUAAAAGACAUUAUUAAUUGGCCAUGUGCUUUUAAGUCAAACAAGUGGCUUGCUUUCAAACAUUAAUGAGGAAACAAUUAAAAAUAGGCUUGGUGAGCAGGUGAGUGAAGCCAAAACAAAUUAAAAGGCCAAACCUUUUGAUUGUAGAGUUGGAAAAGUCGGUGGGGCUCAUUUUAAAGACUAAGGGUGCGUUUGAGAUUGAGGUGUUGUAGCUUAAAAGGUACAGUUGCUGUGGAAAAAAAGUUGUGACUAUGAAAUAAAAAUUAAUAAUAUGUAGUAAAUAUAAAUUUUAAAUAAUAAUUUUGAUAAAAUUAUUAAAGAUAUAAUAGAUUUUUCAUUAUACAAGUGAAAAAUUAUAUUAACAUAGCUUCCAAGUUACAACAACUAGUAUUUUCCAAACACUUUAGUACUGUACUUUAAAAGCUACAGCUGCCUAACCUCAAUCUCAAACGCACCCUAAAUAUAAAAGCAAGCUUUUGGCUUUUGGAGAAGGGGAGCAGCCGCCAAGAAGAAAAAGAAGCAGGCGCGAUUCGGGAGAGACAGGAGCGGCAGCAACUGUUCAAUUUUUCCCAUGGCUGGGUUUAUUUUAUUUGUUGCUCCCAAUUCAAGUAUGUCUAGUUAAUUUUCUUAUACUGAGGUUAAUGAUGAAACAAUAUUUAAUGAAAUAAUUAUCUUUUUAUUUAAUUAAUUCCCUAUAUAUGUGCUUUAAUGUUUAUGGUUCUUGUUUCACAUGAUUAAUUGGAUGUUAUUAAAAUAUUUUCAUCAAUUCUGUCAUGCAUUAUUGAUUGUUAGGAUUUAUAUUCGAUUAAAUUUAUGCUUGGAUCUAUAAAGUUUAUACAUGAUUAUCUUUGAUUUUAUGUCUUUCAUUAAAUUGUUUACAUAGAGUGCUUAGGAAAACUUUGACUUUCUGUUAUUCAAUAUGUUUACAUGGGAUGCUUAGAUGUCAUACUAUGAAGUAGAAAAAGAACCUACAUUAGAUUUAAUUACUUGGGUUUAAUUGUUAUAUUCAUGAGAUGAUAUAAAUUGAUUUCGAGUUGUCACUCUAAAAUUGGAGAUUAAUUAAUAAUUAGAUAAUUAUUAGUUGAAUAGUGGUGGAUUCUGAAACCUUAGUAAUUUUGUCUUAUUGAAUUCUCAUUUGCUUUAAUUGUUUUCUUAGUUUAAUUAGUUUAAUUUUCUUUAAAAAAACUCAAUUUGCCCAACUAGGUUAGGAUUAAUAUUUAUUUUAGAUUUAAAUUAGACUUUUCAAUUCGUAACAAUCUAUGUAGGUUUAACCUCGUUACCAUUAUUCUAUCUCUAAAUUCUUGCGCUUGUGAGUAUAUUAAAAUUUUUCACAACAUCUCGGUCCUCUAUAAGAACUCUAGAAAAUUUAAAAUCAAGUAAGUUUUCUCUUACUCACAGGAUCUCUGGACUUUCGCUCUUUUCCAACUUUUUCUCAUAUUUACUUUAAAAGUAAUUUUCGAAAGCAUUUGGAAUUAAGUCACAAGAGCUGUGGCAUAAGUUUUUCCUAAAAGACCUAAUUUUUUACUUGAACGUCGAAGAGUUCACGCUGGAAGACACAUCUAAUGUCCCACUAACUGUUUUUGUGAACGCAAGUGUAUUUCAAGUGCUCGUGGUUGCUUGCAUUUGCUCGAAGAAAUGAAGUGCGAGCAAGUAUCGUCUCCCAUAAAAACAAAUUUAAGUAUUGGUGUAGACACCUGCUCGCAACAACAUGGACCAGAUUUUUGCAUCUAACAUGAGUCAUAGAAAAUAAAACAAUAUUCAGUCUCUUGAUGCUAAAUGGCAUUAGCAAGUCAAGGAUCCUUUGUAAAAGGAAGACAUUCAUCCUCAAAUUCUAAUUCAGUAAAUAUUUGCUUUGUCCUUAAUAUAAAUGCAUUUGGAAAGUUGCUCUCUUUCUCACCUGACGAUCCUCUUGCUACCAUAGGUUAAAAAAAGAAAAAAAAAAAGAAAAAAAAAGUUUUAAGAGUUGCUUUCAGUCCCAGAAUUAUUUGAGAGGCCUACUUUUCCCAGAAUUAUUUGAGAGGCUGCUGUUUGACUCAGUCAAUAAUUGCUCCUAUUGAUCUCCAUCGUCCAAUUGGAAUUUCAGUAGUGAGGCAGGAUUGAUGCUUCCAAAAUGAAGAGUAUUAAAAAAGGAAGCAAGAUUAUUUUCACCUUGUUUUCUUCGAACAUUCCAGGCAAGUCGGUCCUUUUUUUUAUUUUGCUUUUUUUUUUCCUUCGAUUUUUCUCUUGAUCUCCACCAUCAAUUUGUUCUUUUCUUCCAACUUUUCUCUUGAUAACUUCAUCAGCGUACAUUAUACGCUUGCGUUUAAAAGGUUCAGUAGGCUUGCGACUGUGAACUGAAGCAGCAAACUGAGUGCAAACCACACUGUUUUUUAGGCAGAAAACGCGCAGGGGAACAGUGAGUACAGCAUGAUGUACAUCUCCCAAUUUGAGAUAUAAGAUCCCCUCUGUUUCAGCCCUGGCUUUGUAGCCAACACGUUCAAUCUUCAAAAGCCAAAAAAAAUUGGCUUCCAUCCCAGUUAAAGUAAAUUUAUCGUGUAAAUUUCCUCAAUAGCCGUCAUAGCAAGUGCUCGGAACCCCAGGUAAAUCAGUCCUUACAAUAGUUUUACCAAAAAAAAAAAAAAAAAAUUGAAAGACAUUGACGUUUUCAAUGCCAAUGAAUUUUACAUGCAUAGCAUGUCUAUACAAGUAUAAAAGAAGCUUUUAGUAUGUAUUUCAAAUGUCAUACCAAUUCAAGUCGGUGACAAGAAUCAUGGGAGCAUUCACAGGCAUCAUUUUGAUGAUCCUCUCUAUUUUACUCUUGGUCUUGUCUGCCGCCUCAGCAUCUAUGUUAAGAGAUCGUAAAACGUAUAUUAUCCACAUGGACAAGUCGGCAAUGCCAGCUCCAUUUUCCACCCACCACCACUGGUACAUGUCCAUUCUUUCAUCCCUUUCUUCACCUGAUGGUGAUGCCCCAACCCAUCUCUACACCUACAACCAUGUCAUGGAUGGAUUCAGUGGCGUGUUAUCGCAGACGCACCUCGACAAACUCCAGAAAAUGCCAGGUCACCUUGCCACGUACCUGGAAACAUUUGGCCACCUGCACACCACCCACACCCCAAAAUUUCUCGGCCUAAAGAAACAAGCUGGGCUAUGGCCAGCUGCAGGUUUUGGUAGUGACGUUAUUGUGGGUGUUAUUGAUUCUGGAGUUUGGCCAGAGAGUCCGAGCUUUAAAGAUGACGGCAUGCCUCCAGUGCCUGAGCGAUGGCGCGGUGCCUGUGAAGUGGGUGUUGAGUUUAAUGCUUCUCAUUGCAACAGAAAACUGAUAGGAGCACGCUCAUUCAGCAAAGGGCUGAAGCACUAUGGCUUGAACAUAUCAACAACAUUUGAUUAUGAUUCUCCGAGAGAUUUCUUGGGUCAUGGGACUCAUACAUCAUCAACAAUAGCCGGCAGUCGUGUUCAAAAUGCUAAUUACUUCGGCUACGCUGAAGGGACUGCAAUUGGAGUUGCACCAAUGGCGAGGAUUGCAAUGUACAAAAUAGCGUUCUACAAUGAUACUCUUGAGGCAGCAGCUGUUGAUGUUUUGGCUGGCAUGGAUCAAGCCAUAGCUGACGGUGUAGAUGUCAUGUCAUUGUCCCUGGGCUUCCCAGAGACAACAUUUAAUGAGAACCCAAUAGCCAUUGGAGCUUUUGCAGCAUUGAAGAAAGGAAUUUUUGUUGCCUGUGCAGCAGGAAAUUCAGGACCACGUCCAUACUCCAUACUAAAUGGAGCACCUUGGAUUACUACAGUUGCUGCAGGAACUGUUGACAGAGAGUUUGCAGCCUACGUCACCCUUGGCAAUGAAGAGCUAUCAGUUCUUGGAAAAUCUGUGUACCCGGAGAAUCUGUUUGUCUCCAGGGAACCUAUAUACUUCGGAUAUGGAAAUAGAUCCAAAGAAAUUUGUGAAGGUAACUCAACAGACCCUAGAGCAGUUGCAGGCAAAUAUAUCUUUUGUGCAUUUGACUAUAAAGGUAACAUAACCGUAAGUCAGCAAUUGGAGGAAGUGCGCAGAACUAGAGCCGCCGGAGCUAUCAUCAUUGCAGACUCAAGGCAAAAUCUGUUUCCCGACGACUUUGACAUGCCUUUCGUUACAGUAAACCUGAAUAACGGAGAGUUAGUGAAGAAGUACAUAAUCAAUGCGGAUAAUGCAACGGUUAGUAUCAAGUUCCAGAUCACGAUAUUGGGCACCAAGCCAUCUCCACAAGUAGCCAAUUUUUCAUCACGAGGGCCUUCUCUUCGAUCUCCAUGGAUUCUAAAACCUGAUAUAUUGGCUCCAGGAGUUGAUAUCUUGGGGGCAUGGGUUCCCAACAGGCCUAUAGCUACAAUUCGUGAUCUUGGUAAGCUACUCACCGAAUAUGCUCUCGAAUCCGGCACAUCAAUGUCUUGCCCUCAUGCAGCUGGUAUAGCCGCGCUGCUUAAAGCCACCCACCGUGAGUGGAGUUCAGCUGCCAUCCGUUCAGCAAUGAUGACAACAGCUGAUGUUCUUGAUAAUGCUUAUGAUAUGAUCACUGACAUAUCAACCGGAGCUGCUGGAACUCCUCUUGAUUUCGGUGCAGGGCAUAUAAAUCCCAACAAGGCCAUGGAUCCAGGACUUGUGUAUGAUAUUGAGAUCCAGGACUAUCUCAACUACUUGUGUGCAAUGAACUACACUAGUCAACAGAUUCGAGUUGUCACAGGGACAUCGGAUUUUACAUGUGAGCAUGGCAAUCUGGAUCUUAAUUAUCCAUCAUUUAUCAUCAUCUUGAACAACAGCAACACUGCUAGCUUCACCUUCAAGAGGGUAUUGACAAAUGUAGCCGAUACCAGGUCAACUUAUACUGCAGCAGUGAAGGCUCCAGUGGGUAUGACAGUGACUGUGGAACCAGCAACAUUAUCCUUUGCGGGAAAGUUUAGCAAAGCUGAGUUCAAUUUGACUGUGAAAAUUAAUCUGGGAAAUGCUUUUAGUCCCAAAAGUAACUUUCUUGGAAAUUUUGGGUAUUUGACAUGGUAUGAAGUUAAAGGAAAGCAUACGGUGAGAAGCCCCAUUGUCUCUGCUUUUGCUAAUAAUUCUAGAGGAGUGACAAUAGUUGAAAAUAUAGCAUAGACAACAGUAGAAAGAAUUCAAGUAAUAAACGACUCUUGGCAAAUAGAAAUCCAUCUUAUGCAGAGUUUGUUAUUCGGACUUCCUGUUAAUGUUGUAAGAAAUGACUAGAUGCUUCAUAAUAGUCUUGAGAAUUUCGUCCAAAAUAUUUCAAGUAAGAAAUGUUUUAGGAAAAUAUUAAGGAAGGUUACUGUGAUAUUCAAUAUUUUUAGAAUAAUUUGGAUAUACUUAUAUUUUUGUCGAAAUGGCAGUAAAAGAGUUCUUUUUUUUUUUUUUUAACUUUACUAUUUGUAUCAUUAACGAUUUCAGAUCAUUUUGCAAACGAAUCAACCAAUAGUGGCUAAAUCUUAAGCUGCUGGCCAGCAAAAUGAAUUAAUGAAAAUAAACAUCAGACCUAGCCAUGAUCAGUCAAUUUAGCGUUUGAUUUAUUAUGUGUUUCAGUUGAAACAUCAUGUACAUACAUACACAUGCAGGCAAAGAAAGCUCCCACUUAUCAGGUGGAAAAACUGCAAAACUAGAAGACACUUGAAUUUACUUGCAGAUAAGACAAAGAAAGAGAUUGAUGUUUUUUCACAUUUCACGUGAGUCUUUAGAUUAUAUAUAAAUGAAUGGUUAGGAUUAAAUUAAUUAAAUAAAAAGUAACAUUUGUUUCUUCUAUUUAUUGUUUUUCUCUCCUCUACUUCCUUUUUUUUUUCUUGUUGGGUCUUCCGUCUCACUUUCCCUCUGUUCUUUAAUUUUUACCAUGACCAUAGACAAAGGGACGUGUGAUUUGAAUGUUUGUCGACGAGGGAACAAUCAAUUUUCAUAUUUCUUUAAAUUUUUAAGGUGAAAUAAACUUUAAUUUCAUUUGAUGACUCUGGUUUGGUAAAAAAUUGUGCAAGAGAAAUUUAUGCAAGUUCAAAGCAACUAUAAUAUAGUUAAGGGAAAUCAAGAGUAAUUAGGGGUGGCUUGAAGUAGAAAAGAAUAAGCCGAUUGCCUAAGGUCCCAAAUUUUAGGAAAACCUAUUAGAUAUCUCUCUAAUUAAUAAUUAACAUGUAAUUAGGAUUUUUUUAAAUUAAAACAAUUUGUAUUUGGUAACCUUAUUGUUAAAGCGAUAUAAUUAAUAAUAUUGUCUAACCAUUAAUUCAUUCAUUAUUAGUUUUUGCAAAAAAUAAAUAAAUUUUUUACCUUUUCGGUUUCUUAAAUAAGCUUAAUUAUUUAACAUUAGAAUUUUUGACUUUUAGCAUUUCUUUUAAUUUCUAUUAAAAACCUUAUAAUCUAAAAAAAAUCAUAGAUGAAAAAAUUUCUUACUCUACAAGGAAAAUUAUUACAUGCAUUAGUUCAUUCAAAAAAAAAAUUUCUUGAAAUACAAAGUUCAUAUCCAUUAUCUGAUCAUCAAUUUAUUAUCUUAACUUUAUAUAUGCUACUAUUCUAAAUAUUCUAUUUCAAAAUAGUAUUGUUCUCAUUUAUUUAUUUGUUUAUUUUUGUAAAACAUUUGAAGCAAGUAAAUUUUAGGUUUUUUUUUUUUUAAUUUUUUAGGAUCUUCUUGAUUAUUUGUUGAAAUUCAAAAAUAAAGAUGAAAUAAAUUUUGAGCUCUUUUAUUUAUUUAUUUUUUUGAGUUUUGAAGUUGUUAGAACAAAAAAAAGCCCCAUAAAAUAAGUUCACCUAAGGGCUUAGAUACUCUACGCUGGCCCAGAAAGAGUAAUGAGUAGAGGCGAGAGGAAAAAAAAAUGUAAAGAUGGCCAUGAAGAUCGUUGAAGAGAAAAAGAAGAUGAUUAAACAAAAUUAAUAGAAUAUUUAAUACGUCCCAUUAAUCUCCACCGUUCAUUUAUCUAUAAUCUAAAAACUCACAAGGAGUGUAAACAACAGUGUAAUUUUAAGCGGCCACUGAUAUGCCUUGAUAUAUGUAUAUUGAUCUCUCUUAAAAGAAAAAAGAAAUUGCAAUAAUAAUAAGAAUUAGCUAAUACAGUAAUCACUCCACAAACAAGUGUACAUGACUGCAAACAUUUUUGAGUAAGUUUUUUAAUAAGAAAUAAAAAGAAAAUUACAGAGUAUGCCUAAGCUUUUCUUCAAAUUUAUAUACUAUGAGCAACACUUUUUUACCUUCCUUGUUCUUUAAUUUAUAGUUCAACACUAUUAAUAUUUUUUUUCUUUUCCUUUUUUACAGAAGAAAGGCUCGAGAGAAGAAUAAGUAGGAAAGAGAGAAAUAAGGAAAAAUAUUAAAAGACAAAAAUAAGAGAGAAAAUAUAAUAGAAUGAAUAUAUAAUAUUUGGUGGGGGCUAAAAUUUAGUAAUUUUUCUUAAAAAAGAAAUCCACAUGUAUAAUAAUUUUAACCAUUGAAUUGAUUAGGAUUUAAAGGUUGAGAUUUUGUGUCAAAAUUUAUAGGAAAAAAAAAAAGACUCUCAAAUCCCAUCCCAUAAUGUUGUAGGAUGGGAAUUACUUUUAGGAGGCUCAAAAGUGACUUUAAAAAUUAAAGAUAAAAACUAAUUUUGAUAUUUGUAUUUUUUUUAAAUCACUUUAGUAAAAUCAUCUCAUGCUACAAUAGAUUUGAAAAGUAUGGAAUGAGUAACUUUCAAAAUCUGAUUUUGAGAUUUAGUUUUAUAUCUUAUAUGAUUUCAUAUAUAUCCUCAUAAAUAUUAUAAAAAUCCAAAAUUAUCCUUAUUAAUUAGGAAAUAAAAUUAUUAACUUUAAAGAGAUUUUUUGUAUUACCAAUUAUAUUGAGAUAACAAAAUAAAAAUAAAAAUAAAAUUAAUAGUAUAAAAUAUUUAUUUUAGUUAUCAAUUAUUUUAGAAACACAACAGAAAAAUAUUUUAUAUGCUUAUUUAUAAAUGUAUAAAUAAGUUUUAUUUAAUAUUAUAUCUAAUUCAGUCUUUUUUUUUUACAACAAUUUAAAAAUAUACAAGAUUCACCAAACAAAUAUGAUUGCUUUUAAUACUCACAAUACUUUUAAAAUUAAAUUUUAUCAAAUAUUUAAUUGAUUAACUUCACAACUGAUUAUUUUUACAACACAGACAAUAUCAAGUAUUUUCAAAGUUACGACAUAUGUAAACUGACCCUAAGAAAAAUAGCCCAAAAUAACUUUUAGAAAUUAGAUUUUUUGAUAAUAUAAUUUUAUAAUAUACAAUACCAAAAAUAACCUUAUUUGUUAUACAUAUUUUUGAAAAUACCCAUUAGGGUUGUUAAAAAUACCCACCCGGCUUGAAUCCAGGCAAGACCGGGGCAAUGUUGGCAAGGUACUACCCGACCUGGGAUGAGGGCUGGCCAGUCUUGGCCAUCAGUUGAUAAGCCCAAGGUCCAGCUUGGAACCUAAAUUUUAUAAAUAAAAAAUUAUUAAAUAUUAUAUUAUUUUAAAUAAUAUAUAUAUUUGACUCAUCUAUUACAUAUAUUUAAAACCUUAAACAUUUAAAGUUCAUAUUUUUAUGUCCAAGAUAGUUACGGUUUGGACUAACGACAAUGGAAGAUGUGCACAUUUGCAUAUAUCGGCCGUUGGCGUUGCAGCACCCAGAGGUCAAUCGCCGGCGUCGCAGGCUCGCAGCUCUCCACUUAAUGUUGACAGUAAUUGGUAAGGAUGUUCUGUUUAUUUUCUCUUUCGCCAAGUCACGAAACACUUUUAUCAUAAGGUUAAUUUUAAGAAAAAUAUGUCUAAUUGCACCUUGGAGCUGAUUAUGAGAGUGAUGUUGCCGGCAAAGCAGUCUUGUAUAUUUUAAAGCAUGCAAAAAAUGAAUCAAAUUUAGUGGAGUAUAAUCAAAUUUCCAUGUAUAAAUUAAUUAAUUUUCUUAUGCGCUGCAGUUUAGACAAAGUUUUGGGUUUCUUUGUUGGGGCUUUGUCUUUUUUGGUCUAUAAUGUGUAUUGUUAGUAAUCUGUUAUACACAUAUGAAGAAUGCUUGUUCAGAAUAACUAACUAGGCCACGUCACCAUGCCACAUCAGCUGAGUAAGUGAAUCUGCUGCAGUCAAGCAUAGCUAAAUAAGCUGCACUCGAAUCCUCUGUUCUUUAUAUUAAGCAGCUUCACUAACAUCAACAAUAUUUGAUUAUGAUUCUCCGAGAGAUUUCUUGGGUCAUGGAACUCAUAGAUCAUCAAUAAUAGCUGGCAUUUGUGUUCAAGAUGCUAAUUACUUCGGUUACGUAGGAGAAGCCAUGGGCGUUGCACCAAUGGCUAGGAUUGCAAUGUAUAAAACUCGGUACUACCAUGACACUCUUCAGGCAGCAGCUGUUGAUGUUUUGGCUGGCAUAGAUCAAGCCGUGGCUGAUGGUGUAGAUGUCAUGUCAUUGUCCUUCGGUUUCCCUGAAACCAUAUUUGACAUAAACCCAAUAGCCAUAGGAGCUUUUGCAGCCUUGAAGGAAGGAAUUUUUGAGGAAUGAAGCAAAUGCUACCUUCAUAUUUGUUGCGAACUUGUAAAUGAAAUGCUAAGGUGGGAAAACAAGUCGCUCAACAGCAGUAGAUUGAUCAAUUAAAUAAAUGAUCUUUCCGUUGAUGUUCAUUUUUGCAGCUAAACAUGUUACUGGUGUUGUGUGCCAUUUUCUUUCAGAUUUGAAAUUUGCUAAUUUAAGCUAUGAUUUUCUCUCUUGUAUUGAUCAUAUCAAAGCUUAGGCUAAUACGAAGAAAGCAUUGACUCCUUUCAGGCCAGAAUGAAGAAUCUGCUAAAGACUAGCUACAGGUUGUGCCUGCAAUUUUUUAGCAAUUUUAGUCCUUGAAUGAGAGAAGAGCAUCAACGUACAUUAGAAAAAUGAUAAUGCUCAAUGGAGACUGUUACUUCCGAUAAACGGCCUGCAAACACUGCUUAUCCUAUAAUGUAAAAUCAGCACUUAUUCACGGUAUCUUACCUCAUAUACUCAUGCUGUUUGUCUCUGGAAUCUGCUAUGCAUCAGCUUCUAAACAGGAUCAUUUUGAAACCCCACAUAAAUGAUAAACCUGACUCUGUUCUCGAGUGCGACUCCUUUAUCAUCUGUCUUUACACUUAAUAAGUUCUACUUUGACAAUGUAAGAGGGGUAUUGGAUUUAAAGUCCACUAUAUCAGUAUAAACCCACUUCAUUUAUUAGUCGUCUCUGAGUUAUUGAGCUAAUUAUAAAUCCUCGCGUUUCAUUAACAAGUAGUCUCUUUAGUGCUCAUUCUUUAGUAAUUCUCAAACCGUAUGUUUCUCUUCAAAUGACCUCGGGUAAAUUGGAUCAUAUAUAAAACAAAACCCAAUUUUCUAGUCAUCAUUUUUUGGAGUUGUUCAGCAGCUGUUUAUUGCUUUGUCCUUUAUUCUAAUAAUAAUAUAAAUGCAUUUGGAAAAUCAUCACUCACUUUCUUACCUGACGAUCCUCUUGCUCCGGUCAAAACAAAAGCUAGACAGUAGCUUUCAGUGCCAGAAUUAUUUGAGAAGCCUGCUUUUUGACUCAGCUCUUCACUUAAUGUUGACAGUAAUUGGUAAGGAUGUUCUGUUUAUUUUCUCUUUCGCCAAGUCAACGAAACACUUUUAUCAUAAGGUUAAUUUUAAGAAAAAUAUGUCUAAUUGCACCUUGGAGCUGAUUAUGAGAGUGAUGUUGCCGGCAAAGCAGUCUUGAAUAUUUUAAAGCAUGCAAAAAAUGAAUCAAAUUUCCAUGUAUGAAUUAAUUAAUUUUCUUAUGCGCUGCAGUUUAGACAAAGUUUUGGGUUUCUUUGUUGGGGCUUUGUCUUUUUUGGUCUAUAAUGUGUAUUGUUGUUCUGUGUUUUCAUUAAAUUAUUGUUGGAUAGCACUAAUGUUUGCUUUGAUAUAAACAGAAGCAGAUUUUACAAUUACGCUAUUACGAAUUUUUUAAACCUGAAAUUGCAACCCAAACUGUAAUUGAGUAUGACACGAACCCGAACCGAAUUUGAAACAGAAUCAAACGCAACCGAACUUGAAACUGAGCCUAACUAAAUCGAAAUAAAUUCUCUAACCCAAACGGGUAGCAAUUCGUAAAAUCGAACUGAAAAUUGAAAUGCCCACCCCUAUCGCUGGGUUUAUGAAACAUUAUGAUAAUAACUGAUUGCUUUGAAUUGUUCUAGUGUGUAAAGCAUUUUCAUUUACUUGUUGGAUAUUAAGAAAUAAUUAUGGUUUGUUUCUUCUGACAUUUAUUAGACCUUGCUUCAAUUGAUGUUUGCUUGAAUAGGUGGAGUUUUGACAACGAAAGAAGCAAGGCAGAUGCAAAUGCAAUAAAUCUAUGAUGGACUUGCAUCGAGCAACGGAAUUUCCUGCACUCUUUUAGUUUUUUAAUAAUGGUUGUUGUAAAUGGAAUUAGGAACCUGACCCGAAAUUAGCAACAAAAACUGUUCUGCAACCCAGACGGUGUUUGACCCCGAAUUAACAACCCGAAACUGAACAGAAUUACGAACCUGAAUCGAACCAAAAUAAAUUUUCAACCCGAAUUGAAUAUUGAUAUCAAUUAUCAUACUUUUCUUGGGAUCAGGCUACGGUGCAAUUGUGGUACCGUGACACAGUUGCAUCCAACCGUUGGAUGCACUUAAAUUGAUGGGGUCCACUGGCAUCCAACGGCUGGAUGCAACUGUGGCACGGUACCACAAUGGCACCACAGGUUUCCCCCUUUUCCUGAUGUGUGCUCUGAUGCAAUUAACAAGAGCUUCUUGUCGAAGCAUCAUCAUUUUUCUUUUUUGAUGAUAAUAUUUUUGACGUGUUUUCACAUUUCUAACAGGUUCAACCAAUUUGACUCCUUACUCUGCAACUUUGUUGAGUGGAUUUCUUGCUGUGAUAUCUGUAAAUAUAGUUAUUGCAUUUUACAUUUAUAUGGCAAUGAGGGAACCUUCAGACAAACGUGAGCCAGAUCAUAAAUUUCUUGCCGAGGCCAAAGCUAGUGUAACCCAGUCUACCGGUAAAGCUGAGGUUUCUUCUGAAUCCCUCAAGAAAGAAGUGUAGGAUACCAAAGCCUUGGCCAUUUCACCUUGAGAAAAUUUUCAACUGAAAACGUGCGACCAGGGCCCAUUGUUGAUUGGAUAAAGUUGAAAUAUGCUUGGUUGUCUAUGUUUCUAUAUUGUCAUGUCAGACUUUCAGUGUCAACACUACAAUUUUGUGAGAUGCAUGCAUGAUUUUGUGGUGAUAACUUAAUUCUUUUUUCUUUUGGGAACAGAACUUUAAUGUGGAUGAAGUGUCAGGGGAGGUGGAAUACUCGUAUAAUAAUAAUAACCUCAUAUGGUGCAAUUAUUGGAAACCAGCCAUGAUUAACGGAUGAGGAUACUCUUCUAUCACUUUAUUAGCUUCAAAAGUGCCUGCAGCCCACACUUUUUUUUUGUUUCAACUUAGAACAAUUUUUUUAAAAAAAAAUUAAAUGUGUUGAUGAGCUCUUGGUUCUAUUCGAUCUUGUGAAAAAUGGUAAUGUAAUGUUGGUCUUGAACCUUCAGUAAUGAAGAUUUAUUCGGGUGAUUGAUAGUUGAACUAUUACAAUUUGAUCAUUUGCAAUGGUUAGAAAAUUUGAGGUUCCAUUUUUGUUUAUCAAGGUUGGGAAAUGGUUUUUCAUUAUAAAUAUUUAAAACAAAUAAAUUGAAUAGUACAACUUCUCAGAGGUUCUCACUACAUGAAUUAUCCAAGAUUAUCCCCUCAAUGCUGCUAUAAUUAAGCUUGCCCCAAUCAUUAUACAUCUUUACAAAAUUUUAAAGAGAUCUAAAGGAUCUUUUUUCCUCAAAUUCCUCUUUGGCCUUAUUCUAUCAUCCCCCCUCUCCCCGUUCUACUUUUGGAAGACCCUGCGUUAUAUCACCAGGUCUCGAUUAUGGAAUUCAUGAAAUCCUAAUCAUUGCAAGUAACUUAUAAUGCAUGUUUCUGAUUCAUCCUUGGAGAAUUAUUAGAUAACCAAAAUUUUAAUGCAACUUUAAGCAUCAUUUGUUUAUUUUUAUGGUCAAUGGAAUAUUCAAUAAAUAAAUGUUUCACUACAUGAUCAUAUCACACUUCAUUCUUGAAAGAACCUUGGCUGACAGUAAUUAACAUAGAGAUUCAACAAAUAGUGUCGCCCGAUAAAUUUUUGAUAAUAUUGGAAUGCCAUAUUACUUUGGAAAGAUCCACUUGGAAGAAAUAUCUGUAAGCGGCUUGAAAAAUAGCAACUAACUAGUGAAAUAAAGGUAAAAACUUGGCAAGUCUAAUGAAAGUUCAGCAGCCAUAACAUCCACCUAAAUUUAUGAAUCCAUACGAAAAACAUUAGCUAACAACUUCACAUGAAUCCAUGAUUUACAAAAUUGAACUCGUUAAUCUUAAAAUUGUCACUAAACAGAUAAAGAGAGGCACAAACAUUCUCAAUCUGUUAUAUCAAAACUGAGUUUGGCCUCAUCCCGAGGACCGUUAAUCUCGAAUUUGUAUUCCUGAGUUCAUAUAAGCCAGUACGGACAAUCCACAUUCACAAAAACCAACAUACCUAAAAACAACACAAAAAGAGUAACCGAUGCAUAUGAACAUCAAGCUACAAGCUUCUUUCCUACCAUUUGGUUCUUAUGAAGUUUUAUUAGAUGGUGUUUGGGCAUAACAGUCCAACCGACAGAUCUAGAUUCAAAUGAAUGAAUGCCACGGAAAGUCGCCGAUGAGCUGGCUUAAAAACCUCAAUUUAUUGCCACUGUAUUCUAUUAUGAGGGUGAAAAGUCGAGGACGUGUAGGAUUGGGAUGUCUCUGUCUGUAUGUAUAAACUACACGCAUGUUGCUGGUGGGUCUAUGCAGAGAAUUAAUUGCUGCCACUGACUUGUUGUCUUUUGCCACCAAAUUUUUCAAUCAACUGACGAAUGCGGGAGCUUGGUAAAUUUCUAAUAAUAUUAAUUUGGUGGUCCAGCGCAGAAGAUAUUAACUUGUCAGAUGUAACCAAGUACUUCCUUAGUUUUCCCAAUUCUCUCCUAUUCAGAUAAGCGGGAAAAAAAAAAGAAAAAAGGCUCAUCAUAGUACAAAUCUACUAGGAGAGACGAUCAUGACAAGUUUAAAGAAUCCUAUCAAAAGUUUACAUAUGAAGACAAUCAUGCUCAAAUUUGUGGAUGAGUUGUUUGGGGGAUAAAAGAGGCAGCAUGAUUGAAUACGAUUUCGUGCAAAUCAUGCUCUCCUCGACAUUAGAGUUAACAGCUGGCCUCCUCGAGUUGUGAUUUAUAGAAGCUCCUAAGCAAUCUGCUUUAGUCAUUACGUUGCAGGUAGGUCGCUCUACAGUUUUUCUCGCACAAGGAUCUCACAAGGAGAGACCCAAACCAAGUCAACCUAAACACUCGGUCAUGAGUCAACUUGAGAAUUAUAGGGUCUAGUGAUGAGUAUAAUUUAUAUAUAUAUUUUAACUUUUAUUAUAUAAUUAUUAGUUAUUUUUAUUUAUUAUUUUUAAUUAAUUGAAUUAUUUUAUUGAAUAGGGGAUUAAUUGGAGAUUAUGGAUGAAAAGUGCAUAAAGAAUAAUAAUUAGACAUCAUUAAAGAUCAAAUCAAUUUGUGGAAGCAAUUAAGCAGAUGUGCAUGAUAUUCAAGAUGAAGAAACCGAAGCCAAUAAAUUAAAUCAGUCAUGCUCAUGCAAACCAAGAAGACGUUUAAAGCUAAAUGUCACGGGAUGAGUGUUUUGCGCAGCUAACCCGUGCGGCACUUAGACAACUUUGCCGAAUGUUGCUAAGUAAGCCUAGAGAUUCUCGAACAAGAGAAGAGAGAGCAAUUGAGCCAAAGAAACUUGUAUUGCACAAAGAGAGAUUACAAUGCUUGUUGGAUACAAAUGCCAAAUGCCAUCCCAUAUUUAUAGGGGAGGCUUUACCUAACUUUUGCCUAACUUUACCUAACUUUGCCUAACUUUGACAAACUUGGUCAAACUCUAGAAUAUUAUACAAUUUCCUAGCUAUUUACAUGUGCUGGAAUUGUAUUAGGUAUUCUAGAAUAUUUACAUGUUCACAUGUGCUAGAGUUGCCUAGAACCUUCCGGAAUUGGGCCAAGCUAGCACUCUUGGCCUUGUGUUGGCUCUCUAGCCCGAAAUUGUGGCCAAUUGGGCUAGCGAAUUGGGCGGUCCGUAACAUCCUCCCCCACUUAAGCUCGCGGCGUCCUCGUCGCGCUUUCGUGCAUGAAGUACUGGAUGUGCUCAGCGAAUUGCCACAAAUCAUCUUCCCGUUCCCAAGUGGCUUCGCUCUCGGGGAGGUUUUUCCACUUCACCAAGUACUCGCUAUGUGCUGGCACGCCCCUCCUCGAAACCGUUCGGUCCGCAAUGAUGUAGUCCACAUCUUUGUCGAAUGCGGUGACAACGGUAGUUGGCGCGCGCCUCGAUUCUCCGCGACUUGGUUCUCCCAUGUCUUCGUGAUAUGGCUUGAGAAGGCUCACAUGGAAGACCGGAUGGAUCUUGAGUCUUGGCGGAAGUUGGAGUUGAUACGAGACGUUGCCUACACGUCGAACAACUCGGAAGGGUCCCUCGUAGCGCCUCACUAACCCCUUGUGAACUUUCCGCAAAGUCUUGAAUUGUUGGGGUAGGAGCUUGAUCAUGACUUGAUCACCUUCCUUGUACUCAACAUGCCGUCUCCUUGUAUCCGCCCAUUUCUUCAUUUUCCUCGCGGCUUUGUCGAGGUAGGCUCGCGUGAUGUCCGCUUCCUCAUGCCAUUCGCGGGCGAGCUUGUGUGCCGCGGGGCUUUUCCCUCCGUAAGUCGAGGCUAUGGCAUUGGGGGUCAUGGGCUGGAAUCCCAUGAUGAUCUCGAAUGGACUCUUGCCCGUAGCCUCGCUUCGCUGCAAGUUAUAAGAAAAUUGGGCGAUGUCGAGUAGCUUCGCCCAAUCCCGCUGGUGUGCGCUCACAUAAUGCCUCAGGUACAUCUCGAGGAGGCCAUUAAUGCGCUCGGUCUGCCCAUCCGUUUGUGGGUGGAAGCUUGUCGAGAACUUGAGAUCGGUCCCCAACAUCUUGAAGAGCUCCGUCCAAAAACGCCCAGUGAACCGAGGGUCUCGGUCGCUCACAAUGCUCUUCGGAACUCCCCAAAGCUUCACAAUGUGCUUGACGAAUAGGCGGGCUGCCUCAUCCGCUUUGCAAUCGACGGGUGCGGCAAUGAAUGUAGCAUACUUGCUGUAUCGGUCGACAACGACCAUGAUGCUACCGCAACCUUCGGACUUGGGCAGCGAUGUGAUGAAGUCCAUGGAGACACUCUCCCAUGGCCUUGUUGCUAGUGGUAGCGGCUCUAACAAUCCCGCUGGAAGUUGAUGAUCCACCUUGUCUUGUUGGCACACAAGACAAGUUCGCACAUAUGCCUCGAUGUCGUCCCUCAUGUGCGGCCAGAAAUACGAGGCUUGGACUAGUGCGGUGGUGCGCUCAAUUCCUGGGUGACCAGCCCACUUGGAGUCGUGGCACUCCUUGAUUACUUCCUUCCGUAAAUUUCCCCACCUUGGCACGAACAGCCGAUCUCCCUUGGUGAGGAGGAUGCCUUCCUCUUGCCAAAACCGCCUUGUCUUUCCCUCGAGCACCUUCUCCAGCAAAUCCUUUGCUAGCGGAUCUUGUUGGAGGCCUUCCUUGAUGCGUAAGACAAGGUCAGACUUCGGUUGGCUCAUGCUAAGUGUCGCCAAUUCGGCCUUGCGGCUUAGAGCGUCCGCAACGACAUUGGCUUUCCCCGGUUUGUACUCCAGCCGAUAGUCGAAUUCCGCAAGGAAAUCUUGCCACCGUGCUUGCUUCGGACUCAACUUCUUCUGAGUUUGAAAGUAGCUUGUCGCCACGUUAUCCGUCAUAAUCGUGAAGUGCGAGCCAAGCAAGUAAUGUCGCCACACCCGCAAGCAAUGUAUGAUUGCGGUCAUCUCCUUCUCUUGCACCGUGUAACGGCGUUCCGUGUCAUUUAGCUUUCGACUCUCGAACGCUAUUGGGUGGCCUUCUUGCAUAAGGACUCCACCUAUGGCGAAAUCCGAGGCAUCCGUUUGAACUUCAAAGGGCUUGGUGUGGUCCGGAAGAGCGAGGACUGGUUCCUCCGAAAUUGCCUUCUUCAACUUCUCGAAGGCACGUUGGCACUCUUCGGACCAAUGCCAUGUUCUGUUUUUCUUGAGCAUAUCCGUUAAAGGUGCCGCCUUAGCUGAAUAGCCCUUGAUGAAGCGGCGGUAGUAAUUCACCAGUCCAAGGAAUGAGCGAAGUUCGGGUACUUUCGAGGGAGGCUCCCAAUCGAGGAUGGCCUUUACUUUGUCAUUCUCCAUCAUGAUCUUCCCGCCCGCAAUCUUGUGGCCAAGGAACUCCACCUCUUGUUGGGCAAACGAGCACUUCUCUAGUUUGAGGAAGAGCUCAUUGUCUCGAAGUACUUGGAGGACUUGUUGCAAGUGUUGGGCAUGCUCCUCGAGCGUGGUGCUAUACACCACUAUGUCAUCCAAGUACACGACCACGAAGCGGUCGAGGAAUGGUUGGAGCACCUUGUUCAUGAGUGUGCAAAAUGUGGCGGGUGCAUUAGUAAGGCCAAAAGGCAUCACAAGGAAUUCGAAAGACCCGUACCUUGUUGUGCACGCUGUCUUUUGUUCAUCUCCCUUGGCGAUGCGUACUUGGUAGUACCCGGAGCGCAAGUCAAGUUUGGUGAAGUACCGCGCUUUACCAAGCUGGUCGAACAAGUCCGCAAUCAAGGGAAUCGGAUACUUGUUCUUGAUGGUGAUCUUGUUGAGCGCUCUAUAGUCGAUGCACAUCCGCAGCGAUCCAUCCUUUUUCUUUUGGAAGAGGACCGGGGCACCGAAUGGGGCCUUUGAGGGGCGAAUAUAGCCUGCGUCCAGUAAGUCUUUGAGUUGUCUCCGCAACUCCUCUAAUUCGGGUGGCGCCAUGCGGUAGGGCGCCAAGGCUGGUGGCUUCGCGCCUUGUUCCAGCUCGAUCGCAUGAUCCACCUCUCGCAGAGGUGGGAGCUUCUUCGGAAGUUCUGGAGGCAUCACGUCCUUGUACUUAUUGAGGACGGCUUGAAUUUGCUGAGGGACUUGGCUUGGCGAAGUUCCGCUAUUUCCUUCCUCAUUUAGUUCCCGAAUGGAGACUAAGAAGCUUGGGUCCUUCUUGAAAGCCUUCUUGAAUUGCAUGGCGGAGAGUGUCUUCUCUUCGGACUUGCCUCGUUCCGUGGGAACCAUGCAUGCCUUACUCCCGUCGAGGAUACUUAGGGAGUUUGUAGCGGGCAGCGGGAAGGCAUGGACUUGGUCGAAGAAUUCCAUGCCGAGGACCAUCUUGAAGUCAUCCAUGGGCACAAUGGAGAAGUCAAGCUUUCCGCUCCACGUACCGAGUGUGAUGUGCAUGCCUUGUGCAAUUCCCGCAAUUGGCUUGGCGGGUGAGUUCACAGCCUUCAUUGUGCCUCCUUCCUUGGUGGCCUUGAGGCCUAAGCGCUUGGCCUCGUCUACGGACACAAAAUUGUGUGUUGCUCCCGUGUCUAGCAGCGCGCGAACGGACUGACCGUUUACCUUUGCGCUUACAUACAUGAGCCCUUUCUUGACAAGUGCGGGCUGUUGGCGAUUGAGUGCGCCGAGGCGUUGGAGAGAACCCAUGCUGAGUUGGGGUUCCUCCGUGGACAUUGUGGGGUUGCUCUUGAGUUGGGCAGCAAGAGCAUUAAGCGACCUCUUCUCCGGACAGUCGCGCACCCAAUGAGGACCAUUGCAUAUGAAGCAUGGGCUUCGCGGCUUUGGCGCCUCCUUCUUGCCCUCCGAUUUUCCUUGCCAACUCUUGUUGCUAGGCGGCUUUUUCUGCCCCCAAUCUUUGCGGUUGUUGCCCUUGUCCUUGCGACUCUCUCCCCCACCUUUGCCUUGGUUGGCCUUUUUGUCCUUGGAUUGGGUAGAGUAUUCAGUGAGCGACUCCGCAACGGCAAUGGCGUCGUCAAGUGUUUGAACACCACGCCUAUCAAGCUCGGUCUUGGCCCAAUCCUUGAGGCCAUCUUGGAAGUAGAAGAGUGAAUCCUUGUCGGACAUGUCGCUUAUCUCCAACAUGAGGGUAGUGAACUCGUUGAUGUAGUCCCGAAUGCUACCCGAUUGCUUGAGGCGACGUAAGCGCACUCGCGCUUCUUUCUCCGCAUUGCUUGGGGCGAACUGCUUUCGGAGUUCUUGCUUGAAGUCGGCCCAAGUGUCGAUGGUGCAAAUGCCCUUGCCCAUCUCGCCAUGCUUGCGACGCCACCAUAGUUGUGCAGCGCCUCUAAGAUAGGUAGGUGCAGUGCCCACUUUCGAUGCCUCAUCUCGGACACCCAUGGCAUCGAAGUAUUGAUCCAGCCCAAAGAGGAAAUUGUCCACGAUGGUGGCAUUGCGUGUGCCAUCGUAGGUGUCGGGCUUUGGCACGUCAAUGCGGCGCGCAUCACUCGAGUUUGCGGAAGCUGGACUUGUGGAGAGUGUGCGCUUGUGCCAUGCCCAAUCCGAGCGGACUUCAUCCACUUCCGCACGGACAGCACGUAGUUCGUCCUGAACAAAACUACGAAGUUUGAGCAACUCAUCAUGGAAAGAACGAAACUCACCUCGGAGAAUGUUUGCUUGCUCAUGGAUGAGAGCUUUUGUGGCCACCGUGAACUCGGCGUAUUCUCCCUCGAGACCAUCCACUCUUUCCUCCAAUCCCACGAGGCUAUCUUGAGUGGCGGACAAUGCUAUUUCGAGAGUGCCUACACGAGGCUCCAACGCAUCCACGGAUAGGGCCUUGGACUUGCCGCGAGUCUUGCCUUGGGCGCGUUCUCCCUCUCGGCCGCGGCUUGGUUCCGGUGGAACAUCCACACCAACAACACCCUCUUGUGCUACGUUCGAAGGGUUGGCCAUUGCUUCGUGAGCUAAUUUGCGUGCGUGCAAACCUUAGCUCUGAUACCACUUGUCACGGGAUGAGUGUUUUGCGCAGCUAACCCGUGCGGCACUUAGACAACUUUGCCGAAUGUUGCUAAGUAAGCCUAGAGAUUCUCGAACAAGAGAAGAGAGAGCAAUUGAGCCAAAGAAACUUGUAUUGCACAAAGAGAGAUUACAAUGCUUGUUGGAUACAAAUGCCAAAUGCCAUCCCAUAUUUAUAGGGGAGGCUUUACCUAACUUUUGCCUAACUUUACCUAACUUUGCCUAACUUUGACAAACUUGGUCAAACUCUAGAAUAUUAUACAAUUUCCUAGCUAUUUACAUGUGCUGGAAUUGUAUUAGGUAUUCUAGAAUAUUUACAUGUUCACAUGUGCUAGAGUUGCCUAGAACCUUCCGGAAUUGGGCCAAGCUAGCACUCUUGGCCUUGUGUUGGCUCUCUAGCCCGAAAUUGUGGCCAAUUGGGCUAGCGAAUUGGGCGGUCCGUAACAUAAAGCUCUAAAAGACAUUAUUAAUUGGCCAUGUGCUUUUAAGUCAAACAAGUGGCUUGCUUUCAAACAUUAAUGAGGAAACAAUUAAAAAUAGGCUUGGUGAGCAGGUGAGUGAAGCUAAAACAAAUUAAAAGGCCAAACCUUUUGAUUUUAGAGUUGGAAAAGUCGGUGGGGCUCAUUUUAAAGACUAAAGAUGCGUUUCAGAUUGAUGUGUUGUAGCUUAAAAGUUACAGUUGUUGUGGAAAAAAAGUUGUGACUAUGAAAUAAAAAUUAAUAAUAUGUAGUAAAUAUAAAUUUUAAAUAAUAAUUUUGACAAAAUUAUUAAAGAUAUAAUAGAUUUUUCAUUAUACAAGUGAAAAAUUAUAUUAACAUAUCUUCCAAAUUACAGCAGCUAGUGUCUUCCAAACACUUUAGUACUGUACUUUAAAAGCUACAGCUACCUAACCUCAAUCUCAAACGCACCAUAAAUAUAAAAGCAAGCUUUUGGCUUUUGGAGAAGGGGAGCAGCCGCCAGGAAGAAAAAGAAGCAGACGCGAUUCGGGAGAGAUAGGAGCGGCAACAACUGUUCAAUUUUUCCCAUGGCUGGGUUUAUUUUAUUUGUUGCUCCCAAUUCAAGUAUGUCUAGCUAAUUUUCUUAUACUGAGGUUAAGGAUGAAACAAUAUUUAAUGAAAUAAUUAUCCUUUUAUUUAAUUAAUUCCCUAUAUAUGUGCUUUAAUGUUUAUGGUUCUUGUUUCACAUGAUUAAUUGGAUGUUAUUAAAAUCUUUUCAUCAAUUCUGUCAUGCAUUAUUGAUUGUUAGGAUUAAUAUUCAAUUAAAUCUAUGCUUGGAUCUAUAAAGUUUAUACAUGAUUAUCUUUGAUUUUAUGUCUUUCAUUAAAUUGUUUACAUAGAGUGCUUAGGAAAACUUUGACUCUCUGUUAUUCAAUAUGUUUAAAUGGGACGCUUAGAUGUCAUACUAUUAAGUAGAAAAAGAACCUACAUUAUAUUUAAUUACUUGGGUUUAAUUGUUAUAUUCAUGAGAUGAUAUAGAUUGAUUUCGAGUUGUCACUCUAAAAUUGGAGAUUAAUUAAUAAUUAGAUAAUUAUUAGUUGAAUAGUGGUGGAUUCUGAAACCUUGGUAAUUUUGUCUUAUUGAAUUCUCAUUUGCUUUAAUUGUUUUCUUAGUUUAAUUAGUUUAAUUUUCUUUAAAAAAACUCAAUUUGCCCAACUAGGUUAGGAUUAAUAUUUAUUUUAGAUUUAAAUUAGACUUUUCAAUUCGUAACGAUCUAUGUAGGUUUAACCUCGUUACCAUUAUUCUAUCUCUAAAUUCUUGCGCUUGCGAGUAUAUCAAAAAUUUUCACAACAUCUGGGUCCUCUAUAAGAACUCUAGAAAAUUUAAAAUCAAGUAAGUUUUCUCUUACUCACAGGACCUCUGGACUUUCUCUCUUUGCCAACUUUUUCUCAUAUUUACUUUAAAAGUAAUUUUCGAAAGCAUUUGGAAUUAAGUCACAAGAGCUGUGGCAUAAGUUUUUCCUAAAAGCCCUAAUUUUUUACUUGAACGUCAAAGAGUUCACGCUGGAAGACACAUCUAAUGUCCCACUAACUGUUUUUGUGAACGCAAGUGUAUUUCAAGUGCUCGUGGUUGCUUGCAUUUGCUCGAAGAAAGGAAGUGCGAGCAAGUAUCGUCUCCCAUAAAAACAAAUUUAAGUAUUGGUGUAGACACCUGCUCGCAACAACAUGGACCAGAUUUUUGCAUCUAACAUGAGUCAUAGAAAAUAAAACUGUUUGGGAGAGAUACUGUUUGUGAUAAAUACGUCGACGAGACCAGGAAUGACGAGCAGAUAUCUGAUGGCGGAGUUCUGCGAACCGGUGUGUUCCGUAAAAGCCUGGUGCGCGGAAGAACAGGAGCAGAAAUAUCCUGCUCGUCCACGAUGUUGUCAUCCGCGAGGCCAAUUCCCUAUAAAAGGCAUAAGGCCACUCCGGCUAGAGGUCAAGAGGCGAGGAGACCCGGUCGACGGCAGUUGGCAAGACGUGCUCUCCAGCACGAGAAUCUAGGCACAACAGCCACGCUUUCCCCAGAACCGUGGCGUAACACGCAAGAUCUCACAGAACCAUGACAGCCACGCUUUCCCCAGAACCGUGGCGUAACACGCAAAGUCUCACAGAGCCAUGACAGCCACGCUUUCCCCUGCACCGUGGCGUAACACGCUAGAUCCCACGUUUGCCCAUAACGCAGCAGUUGGAGUCCCAUACCGUCGGGAAAAGGGCGGAAGACUGAGAUUCAGAGGAAGCCUAUAAAAAGGUAGCCAACGAAGGUAAAAGGGUUGGCAUUUUUGAGAUAGAAGAAAAAAACCACGAAAAAGCCAUAAGACCUGUGGCAAGCGUUCCUUGAACCUUCAUAUCUGACUUGAGCGUCGGAGGGUUUGCGCCGGGGGAACAACCGGCGUACUCUGACUUGUCUGUUUGUGCAGGGACAUCCGGAGAAGAAGCAUUACUAGGAGACCUCCUGGUCGUGGUGAAGUUGAUCGAGCAGAGAUCCUGGUCGUGGAACGAGGAGAACCGGAAUCUCGCAUCAACAUUUUGGCGCCGUCUGUGGGGAACCAGAGCAAAAAGCUUCUGUCGAUAGCAAGAAGAGGGGUGGAGUAAGCGAAAGGCAAUGGAGAUAGGAGGAAGUAGCGCACAAGGGGGUGACAUGAGGCUUAACGAUUCCGUGACGCUGAGGGAGGUAAUCAGCGAAGCACGGGAAAAAGUCAUGUUCGACCGAAUGGAACGAAUGGAAAAGCAGAUGGAAACCUUGACAACCAUCCUGCAUGAGCUGCGGAACGAGCAUAGAGUAACCCAAGAGGGAAGGGUGAGAGGCGGUGGAGCGGCACCAGGUCCCGAUAGUGCGGGGAGAAGUCAAACCGCAGGGAGAUUUGGUGGUGAGAGAGGUAACGUACCCCUGCGGGGAGAAUUUCAUAGAGAAAUAGAGCAGUCCCCGGCAAGACAGACUUGUGACGAGGGCGACGGGGUGGUGAAUGCAGAGGAAACAGAGCUGAGGCAACACUUGCAUGAUGUAGAGCGAGAGCGGGAUCAAGUCGCAGCACGUGACCCUGGUCGUGCAGGGCAGCUGAAGGAGGAAGUGCGAAGGCUAGCGCAAAUAAUUGACGACAUGCAAGGGAGGAACAGAGCCCCUGGUUGGAGGAUAAUGCUGGACGGAGAAUCACCGCUCGCAGCAGAGAUCAUGAGGGCAGUUAUUCCGAGAGAUUUCCGCCUCCCCGACCUCAGAUACUCGGGAAGAACUGAUCCGCUGAUGCACAUAGAGCGCUUCAACGACAUGACGGGGGUACAGGGAUUAUCUCCAUCCCAAAGGUGCAGGGUGUUCCCACUAUCCCUUGAGGGACGUGCACGAGAAUGGUACAGGAAACUUCCUCGGGGCAGCAUUAAAACCUUCGAGCAGAUGUGCCAGGAAUUCGCAGAGCAGUUUAGUGGGGCAAUGUCACCGGAAGAUGACAUGAUGGAGCUGAAAAGCAUGAAACAGGGGGAGCAAGAAACCCUUCGGGAAUUCAUCAAGAGGUUUCAUCGGGCCGUCCUCGACUUGGGAGCCUUCAACCACCCUCAGGCGUUAAGGGGAUUGAAAGAAGGGGUGAAGAUAGGAAGGCUGUGGUACAAUUUGAGAAGCCCAGCUAUUCAAACGUAUGCAGCCGCAUACGAACAGGCUAAAAGAGACAUCGAGAUUGAGGAGGAGAAGACUGCACGGAUCAAGACAGACCAGUUGGAAGGGUUAGGGAGGAAAGAGAAGAAAGCAUUACCGGGGAAUGGGCCGAUCAGGAGGAGGGACCACCAGGUCUCCGAUAGUGGAUCAGGAGGUAGGAUGAUUGCUUAUCAGCCUCAUCAGAGGCCGCCACAGUAUCAGCGCAGCAGGGCGCCACCUCCUCGUUCCCCAGCUAGGGAGCCUUGGAGAAGGCAUGAUUCGGCAUCCGGUGGUCUUCAUCAACAUUCCCACGGUAACAGGACGAGCAGACCAGAAGCACUUCCACCGCCCCCAACCCACAGUGGGGCAAACAGAGAAAGAGCAGUGCAUCUGGUCGACCAGAACCAGGACUAUGGGCGGUACACUCCCUUGAGGAUGCCCCUGGAUGAGGUGUACGAGGCCAUAAAGGAUCGAGGGCUGCUGCACCUCCCUACACCGAUAACCAAGCUGCCCAACAGAAGGGAUAGAGGACGUUAUUGUAAGUUCCAUGGCACCCAUGGCCAUACCACAGCAGAGUGUAGAGAUCUCAAGACCCAGGUCGAAGAUCUGGUGAGAAAUCGGUACCUGGACGAGUUUAUGGAUGGGACUUUUCCGAUGGUGGCCACAACAGAUGAAGGGGAGCAGAGUGAUAGAAUCUUGAGACGCGAGCAGCCCGCAGUAAGGGUGAUAGCUGGGGGCCCAACGUUGGCCGGAGAUUCGAACAGAUCGAGAAAAAAUUAUGCCAGAUACGCCAUGACCAGUAAAGAGAUACUCUUCAACACCCCAGCAGCCAAACGAGUAAGGGUCAGGCAAGUGCCAAUCAUGUGGACGGAUGAGGAUGAGGAAGGGAUUCUAUACCCCCACGAGGAUGCUUUAGUCAUCAAGGCUACGGUCGCUAGCAAGAAGUUUGACCGGAUACUGAUUGAUACGGGGAGCUCAGUUGAUGUGUUAUUUAAGUCAACUUUGGAACAGAUGGGAAUAGCCGACCGGAAGUUGGAAUACACCAACACCUCCUUGAAGGGGUUCGGAGGAGGGAAGCUGGUCCCUCUGGGCGUGGUCGAACUGCCUAUCACAAUCGGGAGCCCCCCGACAGAAAGAACAAUGAUACUGGACUUCGUCGUAGUGGAUGAGGAAGGUCCUUACCAGAUGAUCCUAGGUCGGCCAUUUUUAAGGAUGAGCAAAGCGGUGUUGUCCAACCAUUAUCUGGCUCUGAAGUACCGGGUGAAUGGGGUAGUCGGAGUGGUACGAGGAGACCAGAGGAUCGCAAGAAGCUGCUACUCCUCGGCAGCAAGGGAGGCGAUGCAGAUAACAUCCCUCGAUACCCGAGUGGAAAACAAGCCUGGCAGACAAGAACCCGUAGAGGAUCUGGAGACAGUAAGCAUGGGACCAGAGAACCCGGGAAAGACGAUCAGAAUCGGGUCGAGACUUAAGGGAGAGCAAAAGCGGGAGUUGGUGAAAUGCUUACAGGCUCAUGCUGACGUGUUUGCCUGGACACAUGAAGACAUGCUAGGGAUUGACCCAGAGGUAGCAUGUCAUAAGCUGGCAAUAAAGAAAGGUGCUCGAGCGGUAAGGCAGAAGAGGAGGUGCUUCAACCAGGAGAGGUAUGAGGCUGUAAAUGAUGAGGUGGAGAAGCUUCUGAGAGCAGGGUUCAUUCGGGAAGUCAAUUACCCAGAGUGGAUAUCAAAUGUGGUGUUGGUAAAGAAGGCAAACGGCAAGUGGAGGAUGUGUGUGGAUUUCACAGACCUCAAUAAGGCGUGCCCAAAAGACAGCUUCCCUUUACCAAAGAUCGAUCAGCUAGUAGAUUCGACGGCUGGACAUGGUCUGCUUAGCUUCAUGGACGCAUUCUCGGGAUACAACCAGAUCCCCAUGUACGAGUCGGAUGAGGAGAGCACGGCUUUCAUCACUAACCAAGGUUUGUUCUGUUACAGGGUGAUGCCAUUCGGUCUCAAGAAUGCUGGGGCCACCUAUCAAAGGCUGGUGAAUAAAGUCUUUAAGCCCUUGAUCGGGAAAACCAUGGAGGUGUACGUGGACGACAUGAUCACCAAGUCCAAAAUCCCGAAGGAACAUGUCAGACAUCUCGAGGAGACGUUCGAGCUUUUGAGGAAGUAUAAGAUGAAGCUCAACCCGGAGAAGUGUGCUUUUGGGGUCGAGUCAGGGAAAUUCUUGGGAUUCAUGGUGAGCCAUAGGGGGAUUGAAGCAAAUCCCGAGAAGAUCCAGGCGAUUGUGCAAAUGACGUCUCCUCGAAACCUGAAGGAGAUGCAGAGCCUCACGGGGAGGUUGGCGGCGUUGAGCAGAUUCAUAUCCAAGGCUACAGAUAAGUGUCAGCCAUUCUUUCAAGUGAUAAGGAGGGGAAAGAAAACGGAAUGGACCCCGGAAUGCGAGGAAGCCUUCCGGAACUUGAAGCAAUACUUGCAGCAAGCUCCGCUACUGUCCACACCGAGGGAUGGGGACAAGUUGAAUCUGUAUUUGGCGGUAUCGGAUCGGGCCGCCAGUUCCGUUCUGGUGAGAGAGGAAGAAGGAGUUCAGUAUCCGAUAUACUACACCAGCAAGGCCCUGCUCGACGCUGAGACCAGAUACCCACCGUUGGAAAAAUGGGCACUUGCCCUUGUGGUUGCUGCUCGGAAGUUGAGGCCAUACUUUCAAGCAUUCCCGGUCUCGGUAAUAACCAACCAGCCAUUGCGUCAAAUUCUGCACAAGCCAGAUGCCUCUGGUCGGCUCGUCAAGUGGGCUGUAGAGCUGAGCGAAUUCGACAUAGACUAUAAACCCCGCGCGGCGAUAAAGGCCCAGGCAAUGGCCGAUUUUGUAGCUGAGUUCGUAGAGCCCGAAGUAUGCUUAGAUCAACAAGGUGCAGAUAUAGGCGACGACGAAACUCAAGUAUGGCAGAUAUCUGUGGAUGGGUCAUCAGGAGAGCGGGGUUCAGGAGCAGGGAUUGUCCUGGAAGGCCCAGAGGGGGAGGAGAUCUCUUAUGCUGUAAAGUUGGAAUUUACAGCCACAAAUAACCAGGCAGAAUAUGAAGCCUUGAUAGCGGGUCUGGAAUUGGCUAGGGUCGUGAAAGCAGACAGAGUUAAGAUCAGAACUGAUUCCCAGCUGGUUGCGAAUCAUGUCAGUGAAAGAUUCCAACCAAGAGAGGAGAAGAUGGAACAGUACCUAAAGAUAGUCAGGCAGAUGAUGGGGAAGUUCAAAGCAGUGGAGGUGAUACAAAUCCCCAGGGAGCAGAACAGUCGAGCAGACAUUUUGGCUAGGAUGGCAGCCGUAGCCGACCCAAAAAUGCCAAAGUCGGUCCCCCUAGAAGUGAAGUCUCACCCAAGUAUCGAGCAAAAUUUGGGGGUGUUGCGGAUAGAGCAAAAAGGCUCGUGGAGGGACCCGAUAGUUUCAUACCUUAGAGACGGGGUCGUACCACCAGAUAAGCUGCGAGCUCGGAAGAUUAGAGCUCAGGCCUCGAGAUACACGAUGAUCGAUGGGGUACUGUAUCGGCGAGGAUAUACAUUACCGUUCCUUCGGUGUUUGGACGAUGACGACGCAGAUUACGUGCUGAGGGAAGUACAUGAAGGAAUUUGCGGAAAUCAUUCUGGCGGGAGGUCCCUGGCCCACAAGGUUCUAAGACAGGGAUAUUUCUGGCCGACGAUGCACCAGGAUGCGCAAAGGAAGACCAGGAGCUGUGCAAGCUGCCAGAGUUUUGCAAACUUCUCUAACCAACCACCAGAGAAGCUCACCUCCAUGGCCUCCCCUUGGCCAUUCGCUCAAUGGAGAAUUGAUCUGAUCGGCCCAUUGCCAAAGGGACGAGGAGCAGCAACACAUGCAAUAGUUGCUAUAGAUUACUUCACGAAGUGGAUAGAGGUAGAAGCCCUUAGCAGGAUCACAGAGAAGAAAACAACAGACUUCGUGUGGAGAAACCUGGUCUGUCGAUACGGGAUCCCAUAUGCCCUGGUAACGGAUAAUGGCAGGCAGUUCGAUAAUCACAGCUUCAGGGAUUUCUGCCAGAACCUCGGGAUAGAACUGAAGUAUUGCUCGCCUGCUCACCCUCAAUCGAAUGGACAAGUAGAAGCAGCCAACAAGACCGUCAAGAGGCUUCUGAAAACCAGGCUCGGAGCAAAAAAAGGUGCGUGGGUUGACGAGCUGUCAGGUGUGCUAUGGGCAUACAGAACAACCCACAAGACCGCAACUGGGGAGACACCGUUCGCUUUGGCUUUCGGACAUGAAGCGGUCGUGCCGGCUGAGAUAGGAACGACCACACACCGGACAGAGCACUUCAAUGAGCAGGAGAACGACGAGCAGAUAUGUUUGAAUCUUGAUCUGCUAAUGGAGAGGAGGGAACAAGCAGCCGAGCGAUCAGUCACUUACCAACAGAGGGUUGCUCGGUAUUAUAACCAGAAGGUGAACAUACGGCAAUUCAGGGUCGGAGACUGGGUACUGAGAAGAGUGAAUCAGAGCACCAAAGAUUCGACUCAAGGAGUGCUGGGACCGAAUUGGGAAGGGCCGUAUAGAGUCAAGCAGAUAGCGGGACCCGGAGCUUACAAGCUGGUUCGCGCGGACGGCCACGAAGUGAAACGCCCAUGGAACGCAGCACACCUCCGGAAAUACUUCCAGUAAGACUCGUUCACAUUUGAAAGCUGUUUUUGCUCAUGUUCAUUAUCGUUUAUUUUUCACGUUUUAUGUCCGAAUAAUUUCAUGUAAGUCAAAUCCUGCCAUUAAUGGAACGUCGACGAAUUUCAUUCGUUUGAAACCAAAAAAAUCCUAUGGCAUGCAAAGGCUCGCCAAGUCUCAGAGCCUGUCUUAUGGCGAGACAGAAGCCAAGCAUGCCAGGAUCUGCUCGGCCACGAGAAGGCAGCAGAAUCCAAAUCGUUUGAAGAAAAUCCUAUGGCAUGCAAAGGCUCACCAAGUCUCAGAGCCUGUCUUAUGGCGAGACAGAAGCCAAGCAUGCCAGGAUCUGCUCGGCCACGAGAAGGCAGCAGAAUCCAAAUCGUUUGAAGAAAAUCCUAUGGCAUGCAAAGGCUCGCCAAGUCUCAGAGCAUGUCUUAUGGCGAGACAGAAGCCAAGCAUGCCAGGAUCUGCUCGGCCACGAGAAGGCAGCAGAAUCCAAAUCGUUUGAAGAAAAUCCUAUGGCAUGCAAAGGCUCGCCAAGUCUCAGAGCAUGUCUUAUGGCGAGACAGAAGCCAAGCAUGCCAGGAUCUGCUCGGCCACGAGAAGGCAGCAGAAUCCAAAUCGUUUGAAGAAAAUCCUAUGGCAUGCAAAGGCUCGCCAAGUCUCAGAGCCUGUCUUAUGGCGAGACAGAAGCCAAGCAUGCCAGGAUCUGCUCGGCCACGAGAAGGCAGCAGAAUCCAAAUCGUUUGAAGAAAAUCCUAAGGCAUGCAAAGGCUCGCCAAGUCUCAGAGCCUGUCUUAUGGCGAGACAGAAGCCAAGCAUGCCAGGAUCUGCUCGGCCACGAGAAGGCAGCAGAAUCCAAAUCGUUUGAAGAAAAUCCUAAGGCAUGCAAAGGCUCGCCAAGUCUCAGAGCCUGUCUUAUGGCGAGACAGAAGCCAAGCAUGCCAGGAUCUGCUCGGCCACGAGAAGGCAGCAGAAUCCAAAUCGUUUGAAGAAAAUCCUAUGGCAUGCAAAGGCUCGCCAAGUCUCAGAGCCUGUCUUAUGGCGAGACAGAAGCCAAGCAUGCCAGGAUCUGCUCGGCCACGAGAAGGCAACAGAAUCCAAAUCGUUUGAAGAAAAUCCUAAGGCAUGCAAAGGCUCGCCAAGUCUCAGAGCCUGUCUUAUGGCGAGACAGAAGCCAAGCAUGCCAGGAUCUGCUCGGCCACGAGAAGGCAGCAGAAUCCAAAUCGUUUGAAGAAAAUCCUAAGGCAUGCAAAGGCUCGUCAAGUCUCAGAGCCUGUCUUGUGGCGAGACGGAAGCCAAGCAUAGGAUCUGUUCGACCGCGCGAUGGCAAACCGAAUCCCAGGCAUUGAAAAAUCUUCAAAGGCAUGUGGCAAAACCAUGAGCCAAGCCGGAACCUGCUCGUCUAGACAAAGACAAGCAGAUUCUCAAACGAAAAAUAAUUCAUAAUUACAACACGAGAAAGUAAUCAACAACAUUUUUAUUAAUGUGUUAAUGGCUAACAGAGGGAAUAAAUUUCAUAAACGUUGUUCAUUACAAUACAAAAAGAAAUAUAUCAAAAAGAUGGUGGAUCAGUGAGCCGAGCAGCAUCGGUCGGCUGGACCUCCUCGGGUGCAGGGGGGUAUCACCAGUUGCGUCCGGGGGGGUGCUCGCCUCGCCAACAUUAGCAGGGACUGCACGAGGAGGAGAGUUUUCCUCCUCGAUCACGAUCGGCUCUACCCCCUCGGUAUCUUCCUUGGCCGCCUCCUCAUCCAUAUGCUGAGCAACACCAGCUGCAAGGUCAUCCAUCUUCAGGUCAGGGUGUUGCUUCCCGAGGACGGCCAUGAUGCAACGAUAGGAAUGCCGAAGUCCCUGGUCGUACUGGUUGUCGGCCUCCCUCUCCAAGUUCUCGACCUGAGCUCGGUGGUUCUCGAUCUGAGCUCGGUGGGAGUCGCGGAGAGAUUCGAGCUGAGCCUCAUACAUAGCCUUCUGCCUUUGCAGAUCCUCCUUGACCUUGGUAAGCUCCUCCUCAAGGGUAAUGGCUUUUGCUUGAGCAAGUGAUUCUUGCUCUAUCAGCUUCAGGUUCUCGAGAUUCAGCUCCCCUGCUUUCUUCUCGGCAGCGUCAGCUCUGGUCGUCGCCGACUGAAUGUCCCCCUUCAUCUUCCGGUCGUAGCGGCCCACCUUAGCCUUGUAAUAGGUGGUCAUGCAGCUGAGGUGGAAGGCGCUAUGCUGAAUGGCCCCCACCAGCUCACCCAAGGUGCGGCCAUCAAAGUCCUCCAGCUCCUCCUUGCUCACGAGUUUAGCUAACUCAUUGAGGUAAGGGACCAGAGGUUCUGCUCGGCUGUCAGGUAAGCGAGAUCGAGGCCCGACAGGAGGAGAAGAGGUAGCGGGAUCUGUGGCUGCUCCACUAGCUUCCCCAACUUUUACAGGAGCAGGAGGUAAAAUCUUCAAGGGUGGGGCCUGCUGCACGAUGUUGGCCCGCUUUGCAGUAGGGCCAUCCUUACUCUCGUCCCUCUUCGUGGUUGGAGGUCGAGAACGUUUUCGGGUCAGAGCCGCCAUCACAGCGUCCUCCAUCCUAUGGCCAGGAAGUAUCAAGCGAGACUCGAGCAAGUUGUAUGUACUUAACAGUUCCCGGCUCGAGCAGGAAUUGGCCAGUACCGCCUCGACCCGUUUGAGCUGGUCAGGUCCGAGCGGGAAGUGGACACCCCAAGAAACUACAACACAAACAAGACACUUGGUUAGAAACAAGCCAAUAAAACAAGAACAAGUAUGGAUACAAGGCAUCUGAAGCAAGCAGGCAACCUGGGACCGUGAAACGGGGUGGGACCCGAUAAUCCCUCCCGUCCAUUUGUGCGACCUGACCCCACGGACCCCCAGCAAAAAAGAACUUUCUCUUCCAAUUCCCGCCACCACCAGUAGGGAGGUCGGUUAUAGGUUUCCUGCUCUUGGUGCUAGAUUGGAAGUAGUACCAGCCGGCAUCUUUGGGGCUGCUCUUUAGCUGGUACAGGUGCUUCACCUCAUCGACCGUGGGCUCGCUUUGGCAAAAUCUGUCCCACAAAAUGAACAGACCAGAGAGCACUCUCCACCCAUUGGGAUUCAGCUGACCAGGAGCCAGAUUUAGCCCGUUAAGUAUCCGGGCAAAGUAAGGUUGCAAGGGACACCUCAGCCCGUACUUAAAGCUGUCCAGAUACAGGGUAACAUAUCCCCUAGGAGGGCGGCUGGGAGCAUCCUUCUUUCCUGGGACCUUGAGAAGUAUUUCGCCAGGGAUGCUAUACCUCAGCCGGAGGUCCUCGAGCUCAUCAAACGUGGUCGUGCACGUCAUGUAAUCAAUAGCGUAGUCCCGCGAUAGGGCUCUACCUCCUAUUCUACUCCUCCCUUCUGGUCGCGGCGCUCCUGAUGGGGACGCCUCACCAGAAUCAUCCCCUUGACCCUCACUCAAGGUGUUCUCCGAUCCAGAAGAUCCUUCUUCAUCGCUACUGUCGCUCGAGGAGGUUGUUUGGGGAGACAUCCUCCUAGCGCUAGUACCAACACUAGACCUAAUGGGCUCUAAGGGGAUCCCGGGGUCAAAAGCGGGAUCAGCGAGCAGACUAGGUAGGAAGUCCAACUCGUCGUCAUCAACCUCAAUGACCUUCUCUUUGCCUUUCGACAUUCCCUAAACUCUAACCACAACGCCACCAACUACUACCCAAACGAAAGAAAAAAGAAGUUAUCUAUAAACUAUCCGAGACCGAGGAGAGAGAAGUAAUACCUGAAGCACUGCUCCAAUCGGAGAAAGGCAAGGAUGGGGCCUUUGCGCCGGAACUUCUUUGCCGGAGAAACAGAGACGGAGACGGAGUGAAUGGUGAAUAUGCCGUUCGAGAGGAUUCGGCUUUCCAAAUGAGGACGGACUCUUGGGUUGCCAGCAUAUAACUGCGCCGAAUCCCGAGGAAUCUCGUAACCGUCGGUUUGAAAUUCAAAUGGAGGGCGGGAUUUCUGCCACGUCACCUCGUCCGCAAUUAAAUGCGACAUGACUCUUGGCAGCCUUUUCCAAUCCCACGCGAGCGAGUACUAUCGAGUUUCUACUGCUGGUCCACUACAUUACCCAACACCAGAAACUGGGGGACCGAUGUUUGGGAGAGAUACUGUUUGGGAUAAAUACGUCGACGAGACCAGGAAUGACGAGCAGAUAUCUGAUGGCGGAGUUCUGCGAACCGGUGUGUUCCGUAAAAGCCUGGUGCGCGGAAGAACAGGAGCAGAAAUAUCCUGCUCGUCCACGAUGUUGUCAUCCGCGAGGCCAAUUCCCUAUAAAAGGCAUAAGGCCACUCCGGCUAGAGGUCAAGAGGCGAGGAGACCCGGUCGACGGCAGUUGGCAAGACGUGCUCUCCAGCACGAGAAUCUAGGCACAACAGCCACGCUUUCCCCAGAACCGUGGCGUAACACGUAAGAUCUCACAGAACCAUGACAGCCACGCUUUCCCCAGAACCGUGGCGUAACACGCAAAGUCUCACAGAGCCAUGACAGCCACGCUUUCCCCUGCACCGUGGCGUAACACGCUAGAUCCCACGUUUGCCCAUAACGCAGCAGUUGGAGUCCCAUACCGUCGGGAAAAGGGCGGAAGACUGAGAUUCAGAGGAAGCCUAUAAAAAGGUAGCCAACGAAGGUAAAAGGGUUGGCAUUUUUGAGAUAGAAGAAAAAAACCACGAAAAAGCCAUAAGACCUGUGGCAAGCGUUCCCUGAACCUUCAUAUCUGACUUGAGCGUCGGAGGGUUUGCGCCGGGGGAACAACCGGCGUACUCUGACUUGUCUGUUUGUGCAGGGACAUCCGGAGAAGAAGCAUUACUAGGAGACCUCCUGGUCGUGGUGAAGUUGAUCGAGCAGAGAUCCUGGUCGUGGAACGAGGAGAACCGGAAUCUCGCAUCAACAAAAACAAUAUUCAGUUUCUUGAUGCUAAAUGGCAUUAGCAAGUCAAGGAUCCUUUGUAAAAGGAAGACAUUCAUCCUCAAAUUCUAAUUCAGUAAAUAUUUGCUUUGUCCUUAAUAUAAAUGCAUUUGGAAAGUUGCUCUCUUUCUCACCUGACGAUCCUCUUGCUACCAUAGGUUAAAAAAAGAAAAAAAAAGUUUUAAGAGUAGCUUUCAGUCCCAGAAUUAUUUGAGAGGCCGACUUUUCCCAGAAUUAUUUGAGAGGCUGCUGUUUGACUCAGUCAAUAAUUGCUCCUAUUGAUCUCCAUCGUCCAAUUGGAAUUUCAGUAGUGAGGCAGGAUUGAUGCUUCCAAAAUGAAGAGUAUUAAAAAAGGAAGCAAGAUUAUUUUCACCUUGUUUUCUUCGAACAUUCCAGGCAAGUCGGUCCUUUUUUUUAUUUUGCUCUUUUUUUUCCUUCGAUUUUUCUCUUGAUCUCCACCAUCAAUUUGUUCUUUUCUUCCAACUUUUCUCUUGAUAACUUCAUCAGCGUACAUUAUACGCUUGCGUUUAAAAGGUUCAGUAGGCUUGCGACUGUGAACUGAAGCAGCAAACUGAGUGCAAACCACACUGUUUUUUAGGCAGAAAACGCGCAGGGGAACAGUGAGUACAGCAUGAUGUACAUCUCCCAAUUUGAGAUAUAAGAUCCCCUCUGUUUCAGCCCUGGCUUUGUAGCCAACACGUUCAAUCUUCAAAAGCCAAAAAAAAUUGGCUUCCAUCCCAGUUAAAGUAAAUUUAUCGUGUAAAUUUCCUCAAUAGCCGUCAUAGCAAGUGCUCGGAACCCCAGGUAAAUCAGUCCUUACAAUAGCUUUACCAAAAAAAAGAAAAAUUGAAAGACAUUGAUGUUUUCAAUGCCAAUGAAUUGUACAUGCAUAGCACGUCUAUACAAGUAUAGAAGAAGCUUUUAGUAUGUAUUUCAAAUGUCAUACCAAUUCAAGUCGGUGACAAGAAUCAUGGGAGCAUUCACAGGCAUCAUUUUGAUGAUCCUCUCUAUUUUACUCUUGGUCUUGUCUGCCGCGUCAGCAUCUAUGUCAACAGAUCGUAAAACGUAUAUUAUCCACAUGGACAAGUCGGCAAUGCCAGCUCCAUUUUCCACCCACCACCACUGGUACAUGUCCAUUCUUUCAUCCCUUUCUUCACCUGAUGGUGAUGCCCCAACCCAUCUCUACACCUACAACCAUGUCAUGGAUGGAUUCAGUGGCGUGUUAUCGCAGACGCACCUCGACAAACUCCAGAAAAUGCCAGGUCACCUUGCCACGUACCUGGAAACAUUUGGCCACCUGCACACCACCCACACCCCAAAAUUUCUCGGCCUAAAGAAACAAGCUGGGUUAUGGCCAGCUGCAGGUUUUGGUAGUCACGUUAUUGUGGGUGUUAUUGAUACUGGAGUUUGGCCAGAGAGUCCGAGCUUUAAAGAUGACGGCAUGCCUCCAGUGCCUGAGCGAUGGCGCGGUGCCUGUGAAGUGGGUGUUGAGUUUAAUGCUUCUCAUUGCAACAGAAAACUGAUAGGAGCACGCUCAUUCAGCAAAGGGCUGAAGCACUAUGGCUUGAACAUAUCAACAACAUUUGAUUAUGAUUCUCCGAGAGAUUUCUUGGGUCAUGGGACUCAUACAUCAUCAACAAUAGCCGGCAGUCGUGUUCAAAAUGCUAAUUACUUCGGCUACGCUGAAGGGACUGCAAUUGGAGUUGCACCAAUGGCGAGGAUUGCAAUGUACAAAAUAGCGUUCUACAAUGAUACUCUUAAGGCAGCAGCUGUUGAUGUUUUGGCUGGCAUGGAUCAAGCCAUAGCUGACGGUGUAGAUGUCAUGUCAUUGUCCCUGGCUUUCCCAGAGACAACAUUUGAUGAGAACCCAAUAGCCAUUGGAGCUUUUGCAGCAUUGAAGAAAGGAAUUUUUGUUGCCUGUGCAGCAGGAAAUUCAGGACCACGUCCAUACUCCAUACUAAAUGGAGCACCUUGGAUUACUACAGUUGCUGCAGGAACUGUUGACAGAGAGUUUGCAGCCUACGUCACCCUUGGCAAUGAAGAGCUAUCAGUUCUUGGAAAAUCUGUGUACCCGGAGAAUCUGUUUGUCUCCAGGGAACCUAUAUACUUCGGAUAUGGAAAUAGAUCCAAAGAAAUUUGUG